rnacentral:rRNA from 1 species
GACGAACGCUGGCGGCGUGCUUAACACAUGCAAGUCGAACGGUAAGGCCCUUCGGGGUACACGAGUGGCGAACGGGUGAGUAACACGUGGGUGAUCUGCCCUGCACUUCGGGAUAAGCCUGGGAAACUGGGUCUAAUACCGGAUAGGACCACUGCCUGCAUGGGUGGUGGUGGGAAGCUUUUGCGGUGUGGGAUGGGCCCGGGGCCUAUGAGCUUGUUGGUGGGGUGAUGGCCUACGAAGGCGACGACGGGGAGCCGGCCUGGAAGGGGGACCGGCCACACUGGGACUGAGAUACGGCCCGGACUCCUACGGGAGGCAGCAGUGGGGAAUAUUGCACAAUGGGCGCAAGCCUGAUGCAGCGACGCCGCGUGAGGGAUGACGGCCUUCGGGUUGUAAACCUCUUUCAGCACCGACGAAGCGCAAGUGACGGUAGGUGCAGAAGAAGGACCGGCCAACUACGUGCCAGCAGCCGCCGUAA